GGCUGCCAGUUCUUGCCUGGGUGGAUGGUUGGAAGUGACAGAGACAGGGAAUGUGGGGAGGGGGGCGAGGAAUAGGUUUGGGUGGAAAGUACAAACUGUUGAGUUCUGAUAGGGACGCGUACUUGGGAGGGGCUGUCUAGAGCACAUCUCAGUGCAGAUAUGCAGGCGGCUGAGAGACCGUUAAGAACUUUAUCGUCACACAUUUGGAAAUUAAGGUGUCUGGCGGGAAGCUGAAAAUAGCUUGAGUUCAAGAAAGAAGUCUUGUCAGGGUACAUGGAUUGGAGAGUCACCAGCUUCUGGAUGAUAAUUAAGGCCAUGGGAAGGAGGUCAGUUACUUGGGAAGGACGAAUGAGGAGAGAAGGGGGUAAGAGCAGAGACUCAGGGAGCAACAGCACUCAGGGGUGGUUUUCAACCUUGGCAACACAUUUGGAUCAGGAAGGGAGCUUGAAAAACACCCGUGUCUAGGCCCCACCCCAGACAAACAGUCUGAAUCUCUGGCAGUAAGCUCUAAAAGGUCCUCAGGCUGAGACCCCAUGACUCAGAGGGAAGGCAGAGGAACAGGGCUAGCAAAGGAGACGGAGAAGGAACGUUCAGGAAGAUAGGAAGAGUUUCAAGGAGGGAGAGUUCCAAAGCAUCAAAUAGAGCAGGAUCCUAACAGUUAACCCCUACCCAGUACUCAUGCUGUGUCAGGGACUCCACACGAACUCCCUGAAUCCUGGAGACCCUGUGAUGCGGGUACUAUAAUCGGUAUUUUAAUGAUAAGGAAACUGAGGCACAGGGAUGUUAAGGAGUUGCCCAAAGUCACGCAGCUGGUAAGCAGAAACCAGGAUUCAAGCGCAGGCAGGCCACUGCUGGGUCUGCUCCUAACUGCGGUGCGAGGCCAGUUCUCCUGCAGUGGCUGAGGGAGGUGUUUUUAGCACAGCUGGUUGGAAUCAUCUCCCAAGGAGCCCGCUCUCCUUCUCCUCUUCUCCUUUCUCUGUUUUCCAUCUCUUUCCCUUUUUCCUCUCAGCCUAGGUCACUAAGGGUUGUGCCUCACCCCCGUGGCCUUUUCCGGCUGAGGGGCCCAGGUGGGGCUGGUUCUCCUCCUUCCCUCUUGCUGAGACAACACGGUCCGCCCCUUAUCAGGUGGUCCCAACUGCGGGGCACGUGGCCAAUAGCCUCUUCACGUACCAGGCGGAGACGAGCAACUUUCUAAGCGGGUAGUCAGGCUAAGGCAGAAGGAUCCAAUCCUCCUGGAAAUUCAGUCUUCUGGGAAGUACAUGCAGAGAUAGACCCUGAGAAGGAAGGAGACUGGAAUCCACAUUCACGUGGAGGGGAUGUGAGCAUAAUCAGACCUUGGGGAUAUCCCCUCCCUGUUAGCAGUACCAGGGGUCUUCAAAAACAUCCUGUAAGGGCUACCUCUGGAACAACUGGACCGGAAUCUCUGGGGGCCUGGUGGGAUUUAAAAGCUCUGCAGUGAUUCUAAAGUGUAGCCCGGGUUGAGAACCACAACCUCAAGAGAAGAUUUCUGGGUUUCCCGAGAUGAAUCUCGUGCUGACUUCUGAAAUGGACCUGACUCUUCAGCAGCCUGACGCCAAGCUCUGGAGAGUUCGGGACCCGGUCAUCACCCUUGGAUGUGUUGGCAACGCGGCUACUUCCAUUGGGCCACAUCUCUGCCCUGACAAGCUCUCAGAUGUCACAGCGGGGCCUGGAAGAUGGAGUUACAAAUACAGAGACUGACCACGGCCAAGCCAGAUAGGGAGAGUUGGCUGAGUCCCCCAGUUCCUUACAUCCUCUCUUCUGCUCCCUGACUCUUACCCCCACCUGGCUUUUUAGGGCAAGGCAUUCAUUUGCCUGCCUUUCCUGUGGUCCCUCUCCCGCACCCACGAUAAGGAGCCUGCCCGUCAGCUGAGUGAUUGUAUUUUUUUACAGUUCCUAGCACAAACCUUCUCAUUUAUAUGUAAAGCAGCCAUUAGUCAUAGCUCCGUUCCCACACACUGCCUGAUGUACAAUCACAUUUUGCAGCGGAUGAAUCUUUCCACACAGCUGCUCUGCUAUGAAUAAUCCGUCUCCAGGCCCAUAAAUCAGAAAAAAAUCA